rnacentral:misc_RNA from 1 species
AAGUCGUAACAAGGUUUCCGUAGGUGAACCUGCGGAAGGAUCAUUAACGAGUUUUGAAAUGGGUUGUAGCUGGCCUUACUCAGGCAUGUGCACACCCUGCUCAUCCACUCUCCUACCCCUGUGCACUUAUUGUAGGCUUGGUGGGAUGAGUUGGCUUUAGUCAACUUUGAAAGCCUGGUCUAUGUUUAUUACACACGCUUCAGUUAAAGAAUGUAACACUGCGUCUAACGCAUUAAAUACAACUUUCAGCAACGGAUCUCUUGGCUCUC